UUUGGUUCUUGUUUUUAUUCCUAUUUUUUUUUUUGUGGAAAUGCAUUGUUGGGCUCUAUUUCCUUCAUGAGAUUCUGUUCAUUGUACACUAAAUUACCAAAAGUAUUUACUCACCCAUCCAAAAUGACUGCAUUCAGGUGUUCUAAUGAACACUUCCAUGACCACAUGUGUAUAGUGCGCUGAGGUCGCCCACUUUUGCAGAAUCAAUAGUGACGGACCAACAAACUUCAUGCGGCCUUUGAUUAGGUCAAGAACUGUGCGUAGAGAGCUUCGUGGAAUGGGUUUCUAUGGCUCAGCAGCUGCAUCCAAGCCUGACGUCACUAAGUGCAAUGCAAAGAGUCAGAUGAAGUGGUGUAACGUCAAUGUGGUGUGACUGAACCUUAUUUGUCUGGCAAUCGGAUGGACGAUUGGUGGAGGGGUCAUUUUAGACGCUCACGCUCCCAACUUUGUGUGAACAGUCGGGGAUGGUCCCUUCCUGUUCCAACAUGACUGCACACCAGUGCACAAAGCAAGGUCCAUAAAGACAUGGAUAAGUGAGUUUGGUGUGGAACAACUUGACCGGCCUGCACAAAGUCCUGACCUCAACCCAAUAGAACACCUGUUUGGAUGAAUUAGAGUGAAGGCGUGUCUGACCUCCAAAUGUGCUUCUGGAAGAAUGGUGAAAAAUUUCCAUAAACACUCCUAAACCUUCGAAAGGUUUUCCCAGAAGAGUUGAAGCUGCAAUGGGUGGACCGGCAUCAUAUUAAACCACAUCGACUAAGAAUGGGAUGACCCUCAAAGUUCAUUUAUGCGCGUGAAGGCAGACAAGCGAAUACUUUUGGCAACGUAGAGUAAAUCCACAUCCUAUUGGUCAAGAAUGUACCAGUUUGUUUGUCUUUUGGGAAGGGAAGGAAGGAAAUACAUGUCCUUUCAAUGAAUAUAACAUGAAAUUUCUCUUAAGAAAACAACAAAAAACAAGGAUAUUUGCUUUGAAUGCCAUUUUUGCCCAUACAUUCCUCUAUGCUAAGUACAAAUAUGUAGCAGCUUAAGUGUCCUAACAGAGGCAACCAGGAAUGUCAUUACCUCGUCAUUUUGUAAGACUUCUAAAGGAUAACUCCAAAUAAGACAGAAACUUGAUGAGCAGACAGUCUUGUUUCUAAUUUUUGUAUUUAAGAGCCUUUUUAUGGAGAUCUUUUCAAAACUAAUCUAAUUAUAUCAACUGUGACCCAUUUAUGGAAGCCCCAAAAUAGGCACAAGUGUUACAAGCAGAAAGUGCGAUGCAGAAAGAGUACUGAGAAGUAGUGCUGUGAGAUAUUGUAUGUUUUGGUACUGAUCCAAUACCAAGAGAAAAUACAGGACUAGUACUGCCACUACUAAUAUUGAUACUUUUAACCUACAACCUGCGUCUGUCUCUAAAGGAAACCAUGUAUCCAUCCUAUCUCAGUAGUACUGAUCCAGUACCAAUGCCAGCGUUGCAUCAACAAUAUCGAUAAUUGGAUCGAUGCGCCCACCUCUAACGGGAAGUAUUUGUGUGACUCAGUGAAUGACUGCCGCCUCUGAGUGGAAGCACGAGCAUUCAGAUUGGUAACACUUUAACUGUUAGCUCGUUGCUCUGUAACAACACCACCUAUAUCACGGCCAAAUCAGAUAUCAGCCAACAAGAGUCUUACAAACACAGGCAGUAGUUUAUUUACACAACCACGACCCUCGAUCUACCGUUCGCCUCUGUGCCUAAGCUGCGCCUCGUGGUCCAGACGAGUAAGUGCACUCGAAUACGAAAUGUAGGAAACGAGGAGCGUGUUCGUUUAUGUUAUGACUGGCCAGCACCUUAAGUCAAGAGCUGUGUGUUUUUGGCUCCUGUCACAACAGAGAUUUAGGGCAGAAUGGGGAAGUUCAAGAGUUUGUUUCCAGCAUGCGCCUGAGUGAUUUCUUGGAAAGCUACGCAGAAUUUAUGGGAAUGUCUUUGUUAAUAUUUUUGAUGUUUAUACAUUUUUUUGAGGA